UUGGAGAGCUGAAGACGGUCCGCAUGCCGAAGAAAAUGUUCGGAACGGGGAAGCAUCGCGGCUUUGGGUUUGUGGAUUUCCUGACGAAGCAGGAUGCCAAGAGAGCCUUCGGUGCCCUGUGCCACAGUACCCAUCUGUAUGGCAGGAGACUGGUGCUGGAGUGGGCGGACUCGGAGGAAACGGUGGAGACCCUGAGAAGGAAGACGGCGGCGCAUUUUCACGAUCCCCCUGUCAAGAAACGGCGGACAGCCAUUUUGGAAGAGAUGUUGGAGAAGCUAGCGGAUGAUGAAGAAGACCAUGAGGAGAAUAACUAGAAUCCUCACUUCAAAACUGAAAGAACCAAACGACAGUCAACAGGAAGAGAAAAAUAUUUUAAAUUCCAAGUAGAUCUCUUAACUCAGAACCCACAAAGAAGAUGCUUCAGGACAAAUAGCCAGAAAGAAAGCACCAUCGUGCUUUGAAUUUCUCCUUGUCGCCUGCCAAUCUAGGAAACCAGCGUUGGAUACCACCACCACCCCCCGUAAAGCAAAAGCUUCAUAACCAUCUAGCAGAAAACAGUUUGAGUAUUCCUCCCCUUCCACUCCUUUCUUAAUAACGCGUCUGGUUUUUUGGAGAG